UCCGCGGUAGCUCAGAGGUAGAGCCCCAACCGGUAACUGGUAAGUCGCGGGUUCGAUUCCCGUUCGUGGAG
rnacentral:tRNA from 1 species